UACGAAGGGGGCUAGCGUUGUUCGGAAUUACUGGGCGUAAAGCGCACGUAGGCGGCUCUUUAAGUCGGGGGUGAAAUCCUGGAGCUCAACUCCAGAACUGCCUUUGAUACUGGCGAUCUCGAGUCCGGGAGAGGUGAGUGGAACUGCGAGUGUAGAGGUGAAAUUCGUAGAUAUUCGCAAGAACACCAGUGGCGAAGGCGGCUCACUGGCCCGGUACUGACGCUGAGGUGCGAAAGCGUGGGGAGCAAACAGG
rnacentral:rRNA from 1 species